UCAUUAGUGAAUACUAGGGGCUCAUUCUCAUGACCCCGAACCCUCACCUUAAUCCAUUUACACUAGUGCACUGUCGGUGCGUUCUGCGCCCGACGCCCUUUCUUAUCCACUCUGAGUUGAUUUGAAUGUGAAGUAAAAUGCCUUUAUUGGCAGAAAAAGUUAAUACAACUUUCGACAACGGAUCUCUUGGUUCUCCCAUCGAUGAAGAACGCAGCGAAUUGCGAUAAGUAAUGUGAAUUGCAGAAUUCAGUGAACCAUCGAAUCUUUGAACGCAUCUUGCGCUCCUUGGUAUUCCGAGGAGCAUGCCUGUUUGAGUGUCAUGAAUCCCUCAAACCCCAAUGUUUCGCAAGACUCAUUGCUUGGGUUUGGUCGUGGGCUAUUUUGCCGCUUUGCUGCCGGCUAGCCUUAAAGAGAUAAGCUGGACCUCGAUGUACAGGCGGUCUUUCUGUUUGAUGUGAUAAUUGUUACGUCGAUAGAGGGCUGCUCAUGCAUCGAGCUCGUCUGCUUCUAAUCCGGCGAAGAGACUUUGUUCUCUGACCUCCUUUUUUCACUCUGGCCUCAAAUCAGG
rnacentral:rRNA from 1 species